AUGGCAGAGCUUCAUCCUGCUGAUCUUGCACUCCCGCUACCGCCCACCACUACACAAGCAACACCUACCGAUUCUAUUUCUACGGCUGCCACAGAAAUAAGCAUCGAUCCCCAUGAAAUGCCCAAGUUUAAUGAGGAGAGGAGGAAGUGGGAAGCACGUGAUAGAGCAUGGGGCCAUUACUCCGACCUUCAACUCAAGAUGCAUAGGUUCCCUCCAUCCCUGCGGGGGUUCUGUGAAGGACGCAACUAUAUUGUGCCAAAGAUGGUAGCCAUAGGCCCUUACCACCGCCACCUCCCUGAGCUGCAAGCGAUGGAGAAGGUCAAGAAGAAGGCACCACUGUUCUUCUGCCAGGGCGCCUCCGUGGAGGCGUACGAGAAGAAUCUCGCCUACAUCUCAAGCGAGGUUCGAAGCUUCUAUGACGCUGACUCGCUCGAGGGCGUCAGCGACACUGAUUUUGCGUCCAUGAUGUUCCAUGAUGCUUGCUUCUUGCUGGCGACCAUACUUGCUAUGACGGUGCCUGAAGAAGCGCGCAAUCUGCCGUUCCUAUGUCUGGCCGCCGGCAACGCACCUGUCGUCAUGACAGACAUGUUUCUGCUGGAGAAUCAGAUCCCUUGGGUAGUGCUCGAGCGCCUCAUGGCAUUCAGAAAAAUUGGCUUGCCUGACUUGAGUGCGUUCAUUGCCAUGAUGGGAAUGAAUGUCCAAUCCCGAAUUGAUCGUGAGGCGAGGCCCUUGGACAUCAGGACCUAUGUGCCACCGCAUCUUCUUGGCCUCUUCCGUUUCUACCAAUCAGGCAACGUUAGGGACAGGCAGCCAGCUGCCAAACAGCCCGCACGGGAAGUGUUACUCGAAUUGGAAGUACCAGAGGUGAAAUAUCCAUGGAUUAUGACGAAAAUGCAGUCUGGAUCACCGUGGGAGACAGCCACUGCGGGAAGAGCGACUCUAACUGGAAGUACUGACACAGGGAAGCCGACCGGUGCCGCGCCGGCCGGUUCGGUACUAGAGAAAUUGCCGCUAGGCACAAGCGCCAUCGAACUCGCCGAAAUCGGCGUCAAGGUGACCGUCAGCAAGACAUCAGAGUUUCGGGAUAUAGGCGUCACGGAAGGCCCCCUCUUUCGCAACAUCUUCCUGCCGUCACUGCGCCUCAACGAGAACACCGCAUGCUGGCUCGUCAACAUGGCGGCUUUCGAGGCAAUCACUGCUUUAUUCGAGCGUGACUACAUUGUCAGCUCGUACCUGUCCCUCUUCGCCAUGUUCAUGGAUCGAGAAGAAGACGUGCACAAGCUGCGAGCUAAGCGUCUCAUCCAUGGCGAGUUCACCAACAGGCAGACGCUCGACUUCUUCAAGGGUCGCCAUGCCGGCAAUCUGCUCGCAGGCGACGACUUCUACCGCAUCUUACGACGGCUUGAGAGGUACAAGCAGAGACGGUGGCUGUGGAUCGCCAUCCAUAAGUUCGUCUACAAAAACAUAAAGAUCAUCGUCGCGGUGCUGUCCAUCAUCGGCGUGCUCGCAGGAAUCUUCAAGGCCUUACUUUCUGUCAAGCAACACUAG
rnacentral:rRNA from 1 species